UGGGAUUUUAUAAUUAUUUUGAUCUAUAGUGAAGGGAUUUCAUAAUUACUAUUUUUGGGCAUAGCUUGAAAGAAUACCGACUCAACAACCAACAAGAAGAACAGAAAGCAUCACAUGAUGUCCGUGCUGAAAUCCAAACACUUCUACUUGUAAUGGAUAGCAAUUAGGACCACACACCUCCAUCUGCCACACCAUUUUUAUUGUCUCUUGUCCGUACAGUUUAAGGCAGGUGUGCCACGUGAUCUUCAUGCAUUCUACAAUAAAAUUAUUUCAAAAUUAUGUCAAUUUUCUAAUUUCAUCUCUAUAUUUUAACUCUAUUGAAUUUAUCCGUUUGUAUUAAUAAAAAUUUAUAAUAUUUAUAUUUAAAAAACACAGAAAUACAGAUAAUAUUAAAAUAUAGAAAUUAAAUUGUUGAGUUUUAAAAAUAAAAAAUAUGUAUAUAAAUUCUGAUAUAUCCUGAGAAAGAAAUGGAAAAAAAAAAAAAAUUAUUAAGUUUUAAAUAAUUUAAUGCCUAAAAAAUCUCCCGACUCAACUACCACAACAGUAAUACCUGUUUAGUUGUAAUAUAAUCACCC
rnacentral:lncRNA from 1 species